ensembl:lncRNA
AGCUACCUCAUGGAAAGCAGAGCUUUGGCUUACUCUUAAAAGAUGUUUCCAGUUUUGCCUGCUUGUAUUAGCCUCUUUCAGCUUACUGCACAUGGUAGAUGCUGGGCAUCACACCAUCAUCUAUGCCUACAAACCGUAAUAAUCCAGCAUGGUGCCAUGGAUGAUGGCUGCUCCUUCGAUGCUUGCAGAACCUGUUCCACAGUAAGAGUAACUUGCAGGUCAUGGUGAGGAAAUCACAGAAGUUCCUGUGGUACAUUUGAUAUCAACAUUCAACAAAAUUUUUACCUCAAGCAACAUUUCAUAGGCCUUCAGUUUGGUACAGAGCCUAUAAUCUGCUCUAAACUAUUAUUUCUCUAAUUCUCAAAGCAUCACUAAAAGAUAUGGUCACAAUUCUAGAAUAGUCUUCCAUUUUUCAAUGUUUGUGGAAAUUUGGCCAUGCCUAGGACAUUGCUGAUAUAGGCUAAUAUAUGACUUAGACAUUGUUAUGCUCCUAUGAGGUGAAGCUUUGACAUCUUGUUCAAGAAUAACCAACCUCCUCACCACUUCUCCCACACAACUACUCACUCUUGCCUCAAAAUUGUUAUGUAUGCCAAUUCUAAAACUCCCUUGCUGCUUCUUUGGUCAAGUACGAACCAUCCAUCUUUGAAGUCGGGCUUCAAAUUCACAUCUACUUUUCUUUCAGCUCCUCUCCCUUCAGUAACUCAUUAUCAACAGUUGUUUGUGUGGCCCUAUAAACUCAUCACACAACGUGUCUCUGUUGUCUCUAAUCAACACACAUGGAUAGAAACUGUCUGUCUGCCAUCUCUCUUGGGCCACCUGAUAACAUUUAACACCAAUGGUAUGCUGCUAAACCAGGUAAUGUAAACAAUUAUGAGCCCUGAUGGGUAGAGUUUGCCCUGAUAUAAAUACUCCCACCAUAGCCGAUUUCAAGCUACCAACAUGAAGUUGCUGAUGCGGAGAUGGAAAGAUGUGGGCACAGUGACUCUUGGUAACCAGUACAAGCACCAUACCAGGCUUGGUGCAAUUGCCAAUUUACUGAAUAUCAAGCUUCCCUUCUAGUAUUCCCAUUUUUGACAAGUUUCAAAAAUGUCUAUUUUCAAUUUUGUCUUAUUCAAGAUACAUCCAUCCAGUAGAAUACUAAGUUCCAUAAGGGGAGGUGCUUUUCCUGUGUAUUUUCUUUACUGCUUUAAUCACAGCAGCUAGUUCUGUGCCCAGGGGAAACAACUGGAAAAUAUCUGCCAAAUAAUUAAAUUGUCAUUAUUUUAAAUAUAAGAAAAUAUUUUAAGUGUCCAGUAAAGCUGUGAUAUGCUCCUAUCAUAAAUCAAUUUAACCUACUCAUGUGGAAAAUAAAAUAAUCAGAGAGAAAAGAACUAUCAAGUUAAAAGAUACCUUGGAAAUUAUCGAGUGAUCCCUUCAUUUUAUUAAAAUGAAAACCUAUCCACAAAAGUUAAUUGACAAAUUAAUUGAUGCACAGUCCCAUAGUGCCAGAGUGAUCCUAGAACCCAGGUCUCUUGGUAUCUGGUCCAAAUCUUUUUUGACUAGUUAAUCAUGAACUGCCCCUUGGGUUAUUACCUAUUUGAGCUAUUAACCUAUUGGGAAGCUGUUAACAUUUUGUAGAGCGGACUUUUUCAUUGGUUUUCAACAUUAAUAUACGAUGCUGAACUACAUUUGACAUAAUAAAAGAAAAACCAAGCUAAUCAUAAGAAUCAGUGACAAAGAGAGUCUAUAAUUAUAAAGGAUAAUUCCGUAUAUAUCAAAGGACUUUUUUUCAACAUAGCAUCACAGGAGUUGAGAUCAGCCCAAAUUCUACAGCCAUACCAUCUUUUAAUUUAGAAUCAUCUAUGAACUUCAUUAUAUUGGUUAUUAUUCCCUCUGUUUGCUUGUUAGUACAGAGGUCAUAUAAAAUUAGUCCUUAUGUUGAUUCCAGAAAUGAUUACCAAGACCUUCUCAAAAUUCAGAGCCAUAAGAAGCUUGAAAAAUGGCCAAGAAUCUAUUAACAUCUUUAUAGAUUUUAAUAAUUAUUGAUUUUAUAC